AGGAUGAACGCUAGCGGCAGGCUUAACACAUGCAAGUCGAGGGGUAUAUUUCUUCGGAGAUAGAGACCGGCGCACGGGUGCGUAACGCGUAUGCAAUCUGCCUUUUACAGAGGGAUAGCCCAGAGAAAUUUGGAUUAAUACCUCAUAGUAUUACGACUCGGCAUCGAGAUGUAAUUAAAGUCACAACGGUAAAAGAUGAGCAUGCGUCCCAUUAGCUAGUUGGUAAGGUAACGGCUUACCAAGGCUACGAUGGGUAGGGGUCCUGAGAGGGAGAUCCCCCACACUGGUACUGAGACACGGACCAGACUCCUACGGGAGGCAGCAGUAAGGAAUAUUGGUCAAUGGGCGAAGCCUGAACCAGCCAUGCCGCGUGCAGGAAGACGGCCCUACGGGUUGUAAACUGCUUUUAUACGGGAAUAAACCCCGGUAUGUAUACCGGGCUGAAUGUACUGUAAGAAUAAGGAUCGGCUAACUCCGUGCCAGCAGCCGC
rnacentral:rRNA from 1 species